rnacentral:lncRNA from 1 species
UUUUUUUGCCCCAAACCUCCUAAUUUUAUACAUAGCGGCGAUAAUUUAUCGAGUAAUAUUGAGAAGUUAAUAAUGCAGAAUAGGCUUAAAGCCUUAAACUAUAGCUCAUAAAAGUUUAUUAAAAAAAAAGGUUAAGCAAAACUAUGGUUAAUAGUAUAUAAAAUAAAAAAAUAGGAAAAGAGAGAAGAUAAAGUGAAGGUGUGGG